rnacentral:rRNA from 1 species
AUUGAACGCUGGCGGCAGGCCUAACACAUGCAAGUCGAACGAGUGGCGGACGGGUGAGUAAUGUAUGGGAAACUGCCCGAUAGAGGGGGAUAACUACUGGAAACGGUGGCUAAUACCGCAUACUAUCGGAUGAACCCAUAUGGGAUUAGCUAGUAGGUGGGGUAAAGGCUCACCUAGGCGACGAUCCCUCGCUGGUCUGAGAGGAUGACCAGCCACACUGGGACUGAGACACGGCCCAGACUCCUACGGGAGGCAGCAGUGGGGAAUAUUGCACAAUGGGCGCAAGCCUGAUGCAGCCAUGCCGCGUGUAUGAAGAAGGCCUUCGGGUUGUAAAGUACUUUCAGCGGGGAGGCGUUACCCGCAGAAGAAGCACCGGCUAACUCCGUGCCAGCAGCCGCGGUAAUUC